UUGAACCAUAAAAUUUUCAUUCUAGGCGGGAUGAAAUCAAAAGAAAGUCCUUUGGGCGCGAUUAUUCCCGCUUGUUGUUUUUGAGUAUCUAUAAAUUGAACCCUAAAAUCACCUUUUCUGGGUGAUUAUCAGUUCCGAGGUCAAAAACAUCAAGCUUCACACAGUUCUUCGGAUUGAUUUGAGUUUUUCACUCUCCAGAGACUCAUUCAGGGUUCUUUAAUUUCUGAAGAUGGAAUUUGAGGAAGAGAUGGAAAAUCAGCAAAAUGGGGAUCAAGGAGAGCAUUUCAAUUCCGAAACUACUAGUGAUUUUUUUUUUUUGGGUACUGUUAUGUUUAGAUGUAUUUUUAGUUAAACGUGUACAAAAUGCUUAUGUUACUCUCUAAGCAGUUGUUGUCCAACGAGAGAAAAAGGUGCGAGGUGAUACCACUUUUGCAUCUUUCAUUGGAAAGAAAAAAGAGGAGAAAGAAAGGGAAAUGGUCGACUGGGAUAUGAAGAAAGAGAGACCUUGUGGAAAAAACCAAGCAAAAUAUUCUAGUGUCAUUGGUGUGUUUCUCAAACAAUCUCGCCGUUGGAACUGGGAAAACCCUUGGAAUUUGCAAGAUGACAAUGCUAAGGAUUGGUUGUGGGCCGAACUUAAGGAUUUGUUUGUUGUUGAUGAAUGUCAUAAACAAGGUACCCUGUCUAUUGCUGGUGGAAUAUUUAAAGAUAAGAAGGGCAAGUGGAAAAGGAAACACUAUAAGCUCACAAAUACACAUGCAAUGAAUCUGAAAGAUAAACCCAAUUCGUCAACCGAUGGGCAGUGGAAGUCUCUUGUAAAACUUUGGGAUAGUGAAGCGCAUCAAAAAAAUGCCAUUAGUAGAAGCCAACAGAAAACGAAGCACACAAUGGGCAGGAAAAACUACUCUCGGUGCGAAGCUGAAAUGAGAACGGAGGGAACCCACCAACUGAUGGUGACGUGUUCAUUAAAACCCAUAUAAAUAAAGUCAGUGGAAAAGCUUUGGACCCAUUUUCACAAGGAUACAUUGCCCAAUUAAGGGAACAGUCCGGGUUGGAUGAGAAUAGGUUGGAUGAAGAUGGUAACCAACAUUCAAUCAGUAAUGAAGUCUAUGCAAAUGUAUUACCCACAAAAAGACAUAAACGUAUAAGAUUUCAAAGAUGCCAUCUGCAGUACUUGAGUAAUGAGGAUUUUGAGAGAGAAAAGGAAGAGCGAGAGGAAGAAUUUAAGAGGCAAAUGAAAGAACGAGAUGCAGAAUGGGAGAGGCGAAUGGAACCGCAAAAUGAUCAGUAUAACGUGCUCAGAACCAAAUGAUGGAGUAUGUCAGAUUGUGCAGGCCAGACCUAUUUACGAUAUCGGGACUCUCAGGACCUUCAGAUCACCUUUUCAGAAAUUGGGAGCAUCAUCACAGACCUUGGGAGCAACUAUCUAUACGUGGGCCGACGCCUUCCGUACCUUUGGAGCAGCGCCAAAGACCUGGGGAGCAGCCUGGCAUACCAGAGGAGCAACUUUUUGGACCUUCGUCGCGUUACAGGUGUGGGGAGAAGCCCAGCAGACACGGGCCGACGCAUUUCAUACCUUUGGAGCAGCGCCAAAGACUUGUGGAGCAUCCUGGCAGACCCGAGGAGCUACUUUUUGGACCGGCGGAUCCGCUUUACAUAUCCAGGGACCAUCUAAACAGACCUCAAAAUAAUUCAGGUACGCAGGGAAUGGGAACAGACGUAUGGGAUUGGAUACCUAGGCCGCCUGAGAGUUGAUUUAACAUGAACUAGGCCAAGUUUGAAUUAGUAGGUUAUUUUGUUUAGUUUUGAUUGUGUAAUUUCUUUGUUUCCUUAUGGUUAAGUGGGAUUCUACAUGCCUUUUGACAACUACUUUUAUUUAAUGGAACUUAAAUUCUUCAA